rnacentral:snRNA from 1 species
GCGCCCUUUCUACAGCAGCACAUAUAUUAAAAUUGUAACCAUGCAGAGAAGAGUAGCAAGGUCUUUGCGCACGGACAACAUGUAAAAUCAUGAAACGUUCUGCACCUUU